AACGAACGCUGGCGGCAGGCCUAACACAUGCAAGUCGAACGGGACCUUCGGGUCUAGUGGCGGACGGGUGAGUAACGCGUGGGAACGUGCCCUUUGGUUCGGAAUAGCCCCGGGAAACUGGGAGUAAUACCGGAUAAGCCCUACGGGGGAAAGAUUUAUCGCCAAAGGAUCGGCCCGCGUUGGAUUAGGUAGUGGGUGAGGUAAUGGCUCACCAAGCCGACGAUCCAUAGCUGGUUUGAGAGGAUGAUCAGCCACACUGGGACUGAGACACGGCCCAGACUCCUACGGGAGGCAGCAGUGGGGAAUCUUAGACAAUGGGGGAAGCCCUGAUCUAGCCAUGCCGCGUGAUCGAUGAAGGCCUUAGGGUUGUAAAGAUCUUUCAGUGGGGAAGAUAAUGACUGUACCCACAGAAGAAGCCCCGGCUAACUCCGUGCCAGCCGCCGCGGUAA
rnacentral:rRNA from 1 species